rnacentral:rRNA from 1 species
GUUGUAUAGUCAAGUAAUUAAGUGCAUGUGGUGGAUGCCUUGGCAGUCAGAGGCGAUGAAAGACGUGAUAGCCUGCGAAAAGCUCCGGGGAGGCGGCAAAUAUCCUUUGAUCCGGAGAUGUCUGAAUGGGGGAACCCACCUACUUUAAGGUAGGUAUUGCAACAUGAAUACAUAGUGUUGCAAGGCGAACGAGGGGAAGUGAAACAUCUCAGUACCCUUAGGAAAAGAAAUCAAUUGAGAUUCCCUCAGUAGCGGCGAGCGAACGGGGAUCAGCCCAUUAAGUUAUGUGUGUUUUAGUGGAACGCUCUGGGAAGUGCGAACGUAGAGGGUGAUAUUCCCGUACACGAAAGGGCACACAUAAUGAUGACGAGUAGGGCGAGGCACGUGAAACCUUGUCUGAAUAUGGGGGGACCAUCCUCCAAGGCUAAAUACUCCUGACUGACCGAUAGUGAACCAGUACCGUGAGGGAAAGGCGAAAAGAACCCCUGUGAGGGGAGUGAAAUAGAUCCUGAAACCGCAUGCAUACAAGCAGUGGGAGCACCUUCGUGGUGUGACUGCGUACCUUUUGUAUAAUGGGUCAGCGACUUAUAUUCAGUAGCGAGGUUAACCGUAUAGGGGAGCCGUAGAGAAAUCGAGUCUUAAUAGGGCGUUUAGUUGCUGGGUAUAGACCCGAAACCAGGCGAUCUAUCCAUGAGCAGGUUGAAGGUUGGGUAACACUAACUGGAGGACCGAACCCACUGUCGUUGAAAAGCCAGGGGAUGACUUGUGGAUAGGGGUGAAAGGCUAAUCAAGCCUGGUGAUAGCUGGUUCUCCCCGAAAGCUAUUUAGGUAGCGCCUCGGACGAAUACCAUAGGGGGUAGAGCACUGUUUCGGCUAGGGGGUCAUCCCGACUUACCAAACCGAUGCAAACUCCGAAUACCUAUGAGUACUAUCCGGGAGACAGACUGCGGGUGCUAACGUCCGUAGUCAAGAGGAAAACAAUCCAGACCGCCAGCUAAGGCCCCAAAAUCAUAGUUAAGUGGGAAACGAUGUGGGAAGGCAUAGACAGCUAGGAGGUUGGCUUANNNNNNNNNNNNNNNNNNNNNNNNGAAGCAGCCACCCUUUAAAGAAAGCGUAAUAGCUCACUAGUCGAGUCGGCCUGCGCGGAAGAUGUAACGGGGCUAAAACUAUGUGCCGAAGCUGCGGAUGUAUACUUUGUAUACGUGGUAGGGGAGCGUUCUGUAAGCCGAUGAAGGUGUGUUGAGAAGCAUGCUGGAGGUAUCAGAAGUGCGAAUGCUGACGUGAGUAACGACAAAACGGGUGAAAAACCCGUUCGCCGAAAGACCAAGGGUUCCAGUCCAACGUUAA